rnacentral:rRNA from 1 species
AGAGUUUGAUCCUGGCUCAGAUUGAACGCUGGCGGCAUGCCUUACACAUGCAAGUCGAACGGCAGCGCGGGAGCAAUCCUGGCGGCGAGUGGCGAACGGGUGAGUAAUACAUCGGAACGUGCCCAAUCGUGGGGGAUAACGCAGCGAAAGCUGUGCUAAUACCGCAUACGAUCUACGGAUGAAAGCAGGGGAUCGCAAGACCUUGCGCGACUGGAGCGGCCGAUGGCAGAUUAGGUAGUUGGUGGGGUAAAGGCUCACCAAGCCUGCGAUCUGUAGCUGGUCUGAGAGGACGACCAGCCACACUGGGACUGAGACACGGCCCAGACUCCUACGGGAGGCAGCAGUGGGGAAUUUUGGACAAUGGGCGCAAGCCUGAUCCAGCCAUGCCGCGUGCAGGAUGAAGGCCUUCGGGUUGUAAACUGCUUUUGUACGGAACGAAAAGUCUCUUUCUAAUAAAGAGGGAUCAUGACGGUACCGUAAGAAUAAGCACCGGCUAACUACGUGCCAGCAGCCGCGGUAAUACGUAGGGUGCAAGCGUUAAUCGGAAUUACUGGGCGUAAAGCGUGCGCAGGCGGUUAUGUAAGACAGUUGUGAAAUCCCCGGGCUCAACCUGGGAACUGCAUCUGUGACUGCAUAGCUAGAGUACGGUAGAGGGGGAUGGAAUUCCGCGUGUAGCAGUGAAAUGCGUAGAUAUGCGGAGGAACACCGAUGGCGAAGGCAAUCCCCUGGACCUGUACUGACGCUCAUGCACGAAAGCGUGGGGAGCAAACAGGAUUAGAUACCCUGGUAGUCCACGCCCUAAACGAUGUCAACUGGUUGUUGGGUCUUCACUGACUCAGUAACGAAGCUAACGCGUGAAGUGACCGCCUGGGGAGUACGGUCGCAAGAUUAAACUCAAAGGAAUUGACGG